rnacentral:rRNA from 1 species
AACGAACGCUGGCGGCAUGCCUAACACAUGCAAGUCGAACGAUGCCUCCGGGCAUAGUGGCGCACGGGUGCGUAACGCGUGGGAAUCUGCCCUUGGGUUCGGAAUAACUCGCCGAAAGGCGAGCUAAUACCGGAUGAUGACGUAAGUCCAAAGAUUUAUCGCCCAAGGAUGAGCCCGCGUAGGAUUAGCUAGUUGGUGGGGUAAAGGCCCACCAAGGCGACGAUCCUUAGCUGGUCUGAGAGUAUGAUCAGCCACACUGGGACUGAGACACGGCCCAGACUCCUACGGGAAGCAGCAGUGGGGAAUAUUGGACGAUGGGCGAAAGCCUGAUCCAGCAAUGCCGCGUGAGUGAUGAAGGCCUUAGGGUUGUAAAGCUCUUUUACCCGGGAUGAUAAUGACAGUACCGGGAGAAUAAGCUCCGGCUAACUCCGUG